rnacentral:tRNA from 1 species
GCUCCUGUGGUGAAAUGGAUAUCACAGCGGUCUUCGGAACCGCUAUUGCGGGUUCGAAUCCUGCCAGGAGCG